GAGGAGAGGUAUCUGGUGGAUGUGGAGGAGAGGUAUCUGGUGGAUGUUGAGGAGAGGAGAGGUAUCUGCUGGAUGUGGAGGAGAGGAUGUAUCUGAUGGAUGUGGAGGAGAGUUAUUUGGUGGAUGUGGUAUAGAAGAGAGGUAUCUGGUGGAUGUGGAGGAGAGGAGGUAUCUGGUGGAUGUGAAGGAGAGGAGAGGUAUCUGGUGGAUGUGGAGGAGAGGAGAGGUAUCUGGUGGAUGUGG